rnacentral:rRNA from 1 species
CCUGCCUUUAAGACGUGGAUAACAAUUGGAAACAGUUGCUAAGACUGGAUAGGAAAUUAAGAGGCAUCUUUUAAUUUUUAAAAGACCUUUUUCGAAAGGUAUGCUUAAAGAGGGGCUUGCGCCACAUUAGUUAGUUGGUAAGGUAAAGGCUUACCAAGACGAUGAUGUGUAGCUGGACUGAGAGGUCGAACAGCCACAUUGGGACUGAGACACGGCCCAAACUCCUACGGGAGGCAGCAGUAAGGAAUUUUUGGCAAUGGAGGAAACUCUGACCGAGCGACGCCGCGUGAACAAUGAAGUACUUCGGUAUGUAAAGUUCUUUUAUUGAAAAAGAAAAAAUAGUGGAAAAACUAUCUUGACAUUAUUCAAUGAAUAAGCCCCGGCUAAUUAUGUGCCAGCAGCCGCGGUAAUACAUAAGGGGCGAGCGUUAUCCGGAAUUAUUGGGCGUAAAGGGUGCGUAGGCGGUUUGAUAAGUCUAUAGUUUAAAUGCAGCGCUUAACGCUGUAGCGCUAUAGAAACUGUCUGACUAGAGUUAGAUAGAGGCAAGCGGAAUUCCAUGUGUAGCGGUAAAAUGCGUAAAUAUAUGGAGGAACACCAGAGGCGUAGGCGGCUUGCUGGGUCUUAACUGACGCUGAGGCACGAAAGCGUGGGGAGCAAACAGGAUUAGAUACCCUGGUAGUCCACGCCGUAAACGAUGAGUACUAAGUGUCGGGUUUCGGCUCGGUACUGAAGUUAACACAUUAAGUACUCCGCCUGAGUAGUACGUACGCAAGUAUGAAACUUAAAGGAAUUGACGGGACCCCGCACAAGCGGUGGAUCAUGUUGUUUAAUUCGAAGAUACACGAAAAACCUUACCAGGUCUUGACAUAAUUUUGCGACAUUAUAGAAAUAUAAUGAAGGUUAUCAGAAUUACAGGUGGUGCAUGGUUGUCGUCAGCUCGUGUCGUGAGAUGUUAGGUUAAGUCCUAAAACGAGCGCAACCCUUGUCGUUAGUUGCGACCACGUAAUGGUGAGCACUUUAGCGAGACUGCCAAUGAAAAAUUGGAGGAAGGUGAGGAUUACGUCAAAUCAUCAUGCCCCUCAUGAUCUGGGCUACAAACGUGAUACAAUGGCUGUUACAAAGAGUAGCUACAACGUGAGUUUUUAGCCAAUUUCAAAAAAACAGUCUCAGUUCGGAUUGAAGUCUGCAACUCGACUCAUGAAGUGGAA